rnacentral:rRNA from 1 species
UCCUACGGGAGGCAGCAGUGAGGAAUUUUGCGCAAUGGGGGAAACCCUGACGCAGCAACGCCGCGUGAGUGAAGAAGGCCUUUGGGUCGUAAAGCUCUGUCAACUGGGAAGAAAUUACCAUUAUUUAACAGAUGGUGGUAUUGACGGUACCAGUGGAGGAAGCGCCGGCUAACUCCGUGCCAGCAGCCGCGGUAACACGGGGGGCGCAAGCGUUAUUCGGAAUUAUUGGGCGUAAAGGGCGCGUAGGCGGUCUUGUCGGUCAGAUGUGAAAGCCCGGGGCUCAACCCUGGAAGUGCAUUUGAAACAGCAAGACUUGAGUACGGGAGAGGAAAGCGGAAUUCCUGGUGUAGAGGUGAAAUUCGUAGAUAUCAGGAGGAACACCGAUGGCGAAGGCAGCUUUCUGGACCGAUACUGACGCUGAGGCGCGAAGGCGUGGGUAGCGAACGGGAUUAGAUACCCCGGUAGUCCACGCAGUAAACGUUGUACACUAGGUGUAUCGGGUAUUAAAACCUGAUGUGCCGCAGCUAACGCAUUAAGUGUACCGCCUGGGAAGUACGGUCGCAAGACUAAAACUCAAAGGAAUUGACGG